UACGUAGGGGGCAAGCGUUGUCCGGAUUUAUUGGGCGUAAAGAGCGUGUAGGCGGCUUGGUAGGUCCGCUGUGAAAACUCGAGGCUCAACCUCGAGAUGUCGGCGGAAACCACUUGGCUAGAGUCCGGAAGAGGAGAGUGGAAUUCCUGGUGUAGCGGUGAAAUGCGCAGAUAUCAGGAAGAACACCUAUGGCGAAGGCAGUGCUCUGGGCCGUAACUGACGCUGAGACGCGAAAGCGUGGGGAGCAAACAGG
rnacentral:rRNA from 1 species